rnacentral:rRNA from 1 species
UGCAAGUCGAGCGGAAUGAUGAAGAAGCUUGCUUCUUCUGAUUUUAGCGGCGGACGGGUGAGUAACACGUGGGCAACCUACCUUGUAGAUUGGGAUAACUCCGGGAAACCGGGGCUAAUACCGAAUAAUCCAUUUUGCUUCAUGGCAGAAUGUUGAAAGACGGUUUCGGCUGUCACUACGAGAUGGGCCCGCGGCGUAUUAGCUAGUUGGUAGGGUAAUGGCCUACCAAGGCGACGAUACGUAGCCGACCUGAGAGGGUGAUCGGCCACACUGGGACUGAGACACGGCCCAGACUCCUACGGGAGGCAGCAGUAGGGAAUCUUCCACAAUGGACGAAAGUCUGAUGGAGCAACGCCGCGUGAGUGAAGAAGGUUUUCGGAUCGUAAAACUCUGUUGUAAGGGAAGAACACGUACGAGAGUAACUGCUCGUACCUUGACGGUACCUUAUUAGAAAGCCACGGCUAACUACGUGCCAGCAGCCGCGGUAAUACGUAGGUGGCAAGCGUUGUCCGGAAUUAUUGGGCGUAAAGCGCGCGCAGGCGGUCCUUUAAGUCUGAUGUGAAAGCCCACGGCUCAACCGUGGAGGGUCAUUGGAAACUGGGGGACUUGAGUACAGAAGAGGAAAGCGGAAUUCCACGUGUAGCGGUGAAAUGCGUAGAGAUGUGGAGGAACACCAGUGGCGAAGGCGGCUUUCUGGUCUGUAACUGACGCUGAGGCGCGAAAGCGUGUGGAGCAAACAGGAUUAGAUACCCUGGUAGUCCACGCCGUA